rnacentral:rRNA from 1 species
CGUAAAGCGCAUGCAGGCGGCCUGUUAAGUCAGAUGUGAAAGACCCGGGGCGUUAACCUCGGAAUUGCAUUUGAAACUAGGCAGGCUAGAGUCUUGUAGAGGGGGGUAGGAAGUUUACAGGUGUAGCGGUGGAAAUGCGUAGAGAUCUGAAGGAAUACCAGUGGCGAAGGCGGCCCCCUCGGACAGAUACUGACACUCAGAUGCGAAAGCGUGGGGAGCAAACAGGAUUAGAUACCCUGGUAG